rnacentral:rRNA from 1 species
CCUACGGGUGGCAGCAGUGGGGAAUAUUGCACAAUGGGGGAAACCCUGAUGCAGCAACGCCGCGUGAAGGAAGACGGUUUUCGGAUUGUAAACCUCUGUUCUUAGUGAAGAAUAAUGACGGUAGCUAAGGAGCAAGCCACGGCUAACUACGUGCCAGCAGCCGCGGUAAUACGGAGGUGGCAAGCGUUGUCCGGAUUUACUGGGUGUAAAGGGAGCGCAGGCGGGAAGCUAAGUCAGCUGUGAAAACUCAGGGCGUAACUUGUAGACUGCAGUUGAAACUGGUUUUCGUGAGUGAAGGAGAGGUAGGCGGAAUUCGGGGUGUAGCGGUGAAAUGCGUAGAUAUUAGGAGGAACACCGGUGGCGAAGGCGGCCAACUGGGCUUUAACUGACGCUGAGGCUCGAAAGUGUGGGGAGCAAACAGGAUUAGAUACCCCGGUAGUC